rnacentral:rRNA from 1 species
UACGAGGGGGGCGAGCGUUGUUCGGAAUUAUUGGGCGUAAAGGGUGCGUAGGCGGUUUGGUAAGUCUUGUGUGAAAUCUCCAGGCUCAACUUGGAGUCUGCACGAGAAACUGCCGGGCUUGAGUGUGGGAGAGGUGAGUGGAAUUCCUGGUGUAGCGGUGAAAUGCGCAGAUAUCAGGAGGAACACCGGUGGCGAAGGCGGUUCUCUGGGCAUGUCCUGACGCUGAGGAGCGAAAGUGUGGGGAGCGAACAGG